rnacentral:rRNA from 1 species
UACGUAGGGGGCGAGCGUUGUCCGGAUUUAUUGGGCGUAAAGAGCUCGUAGGCGGUUGGGUAAGUCGGGUGUGAAAACUCAGGCUCAACUCUGAGACGCCACUCGAUACUGCCCUGACUCGAGUCCGGUAGGGGAGCGUGGAAUUCCCGGUGUAGCGGUGAAAUGCGCAGAUAAUCGGGAGGAACACCAGUGGCGAAGGCGGCGCUCUGGGACGGUACUGACGCUGGAGACGCGAAAGCGUGGGGAGCGAACAGGGAU